GCUCGCCUCGGCAGCAUGCACUAAGACUGGAAUGAUACAGAGAAGAUUAACAUGGCCUUCAUGCAAGGAUGACACAUAAAAGUUAGAAAACAAUAGGAAAUUU
ensembl:snRNA U6 U6 spliceosomal RNA